rnacentral:rRNA from 2 species
GAGUGAUCGAAAGAUGAAAAGCACUUUGAAAAGAGAGUUAAACAGCACGUGAAAUUGUUGAAAGGGAAGCGUUUGCGACCAGACUCGCCCGCGGGGUUCAGCCGGCACUCGUGCCGGUGUACUUCCCCGUGGGCGGGCCAGCGUCGGUUUGGGCGGCCGGUCAAAGGCCCUCGGAAUGUAUCACCUCUCGGGGUGUCUUAUAGCCGAGGGUGCAAUGCGGCCUGCCCGGACCGAGGAACGCGCUUCGGCUCGGACGCUGGCGUAAUGGUCGUAAAUGAC